UACGCAGGCGGUUUGGUAAGACAGGCGUGAAAUCCCCGGGCUUAACCUGGGAACUGCGCUUGUGACUGCCAGACUAGAGUCUGUCAGAGGGGGGUGGAAUUCCACGUGUAGCAGUGAAAUGCGUAGAGAUGUGGAGGAACACCGAUGGCGAAGGCAGCCCCCUGGGAUAAGACUGACGCUCAUGUACGAAAGCGUGGGGAGCAAACAGGAUUAGAUACCCUGGUAGUCCACGCCCUAAACGAUGUCGACUAGUGUUGGGGAUUAACUUCCUCGGUAACGCAGCUAACGCGUGAAGUCGACCGCCUGGGGAGUACGGUCGCAAGAUUAAA
rnacentral:rRNA from 1 species